UACGUAGGGGGCUAGCGUUGUCCGGAAUCAUUGGGCGUAAAGCGCGUGUAGGCGGUCCGGUAAGUCCGCUGUGAAAGUCCAGGGCUCAACCCUGGGAUGCCGGUCGAUACUGCCGGACUAGAGGACGGUAGAGGCGAGUGGAAUUCCCGGUGUAGCGGUGAAAUGCGCAGAUAUCAGGAAGAACACCAAUGGCGAAAGCAGCUCUCUGGGACGGUACUGACGCUGAGACGCGAAAGCGUGGGGAGCGAACAGG
rnacentral:rRNA from 1 species